rnacentral:misc_RNA from 1 species
UCGUAACAAAAUGUGAAGGGAGCGCGCAAGGGCUGUCGCUGACUGACUCAAAGUCGUGUGCACGCCCCGGUGUGUCCCCCCCACAUAAUAAUCCAUCUCACCCUUUUGUGCAUCACCGCGUGGGCACCCUUUGGGAUCACAUCUCGGAGGGGGUUUGUGUGAAAACGCAAGCCCCCCCUUUUAAAAAGUGUAGAAUGACCUCAUUUAUGCAAUCAAUA